CCUCCUCAAUUGAGCUCCGGCCGUCCCCGCCGACCAGAGAGGCCAUCACCGGACCUUGAUCACCACCGCCAACUUGAGAGGCCAUCACCGGACCUUGACCACCACCGCCGACCUGAGAGGCAUUCGCCGGAGCUUGACCACCGCCGCCGACCUGAGAGGCCAUCACCUGACCUUGACUAUCACCGUCGGCCUGAGAGGCCAUCUCCAGACCGUCGAUCGCGAGAUCCUGAACUUCCUCGCCCUUCGUCCAAGAGAAAGUAUGAAGAUUAUGAUGAUCACCAUCAUGAGGACCGCCAUCGCCGUG
rnacentral:lncRNA from 1 species